rnacentral:rRNA from 1 species
CCUACGGGAGGCAGCAGUAGGGAAUUUUGCGCAAUGGGCGAAAGCCUGACGCAGCAACGCCGCGUGAUCGAGACGCCCUUCGGGGUGUAAAGAUCUGUCAGUGGGGACGAAACUUGACGGUACCCACAGAGGAAGCACCGGCUAACUCCGUGCCAGCAGCCGCGGUAAUACGGGGGGUGCAAGCGUUGUCCGGAAUCAUUGGGCGUAAAGCGCUCGUAGGCGGCACGUAAAGUCUGGUGUUAAAGGCAGAGGCUCAACUUCUGUACGGCACUGGAUACUUGCGAGCUAGAGUGCGGUAGAGGUAAAGGGAAUGCGUGGUGUAGCGGUGAAAUGCUGAGAUAUCAGGAGGAACAUCGGUAGCGUAAGCGCGUUACUGGGCCGUAAUUGACGCUGAGGAACGAAAGCCAGGGUAGCAAAUGGGAUUAGAUACCCGGGUAGUC